GGAUGUGAGGGCAAUCUGGCUAUGACAUUUGUCACCUAUGAAUCACCAGGGUUGAUUCAGGUGAUUUGACUAGCCAGGCAGGUAUCCCCUUCCUCCCUCACUGCUCUAUGUGCGUCCCUCCCACAGGUACACACUUGGUCAGAGAGGGUGACCCCCCCACACCCAUAGAAGAGGACUGUUUCCUUUCACUGUACUCUCCUGCUAGAACUUCAAACAAGCUCUCAAAAGUAGGCCAUUUUAUUAAGUGAAAUAUGGUGAGAACGCCCAACACAGAGUUGUGCUUGGGACAUAUUGGAGUAGAGAUGUCAAGUAGGGAGUUGAAUGUGUGAGUCUGGAGCCCU
rfam:Heterocephalus glaber contig209773, whole genome shotgun sequence.